AGAGUUUGAUCCUGGCUCAGAACGUACGCUGGCGGCACGCCUAACACAUGCAAGUCGAACGAAGUAGCAAUACUUAGUGGCAGACGGGUGAGUAACAUGUAGGCAUCUGCCCUUUGGCCUGGAAUAACACGAGGAAACUUGUGCUAAUACCGGAUAAGUCUUUACGGAGAAAGCUUUAUGCACCAUUGGAUGAGCCUGCACUUGAUUAGUUUGUUGGUGGGGUAAUGGCCUACCAAGACUGUGAUCAAUAGCUGAUUUGAGAGGAUGAUCAGCCACAUUGGGACUGAGACACGGCCCAAACUCCUACGGGAGGCAGCAGUGGGGAAUCUUGCACAAUGGAGGAAACUCUGAUGCAGCGAUGCCGCGUGAGUGAAGAAGGCCUUUGGGUUGUAAAGCUCUUUCGUCGGGGAAGAAAAUGACUGUACCCGAAUAAGAAGGUCCGGCUAACUUCGUGCCAGCAGCCGCGGUAAUACGAAGGGACCUAGCGUAGUUCGGAAUUACUGGGCUUAAAGAGUUCGUAGGUGGUUGAAAAAGUUGGUGGUGAAAUCCCAGAGCUUAACUCUGGAACUGCCAUCAAAACUUUUCAGCUAGAGUAUGAUAGAGGAAAGCAGAAUUUCUAGUGUAGAGGUGAAAUUCGUAGAUAUUAGAAAGAAUACCAAUUGCGAAGGCAGCUUUCUGGAUCAUUACUGACACUGAGGAACGAAAGCAUGGGUAGCGAAGAGGAUUAGAUACCCUCGUAGUCCAUGCCGUAAACGAUGUGUGUUAGACGUUGGAAAUUUAUUUUCAGUGUCGCAGCGAAAGCGAUAAACACACCGCCUGGGGAGUACGACCGCAAGGUUAAAACUCAAAUGAAUUGACGGGGACCCGCACAAGUAGUGGAGCAUGUGGUUUAAUUCGAAGAUACGCGCAGAACCUUACCAACACUUGACAUGUUCGUCGCGACUUUAAGAGAUUAAAGUUUUCGGUUCGGCCGGACGAAACACAGGUGCUGCAUGGCUGUCGUCAGCUCGUGUCGUGAGAUGUUGGGUUAAGUCCCGCAACGAGCGCAACCCUCACUUUUAGUUGCCAUCAUUUAGUUGGGCACUCUGAAAGAACUGCCAGUGAUAAGCUGGAGGAAGGUGGGGAUGACGUCAAGUCCUCAUGGCCCUUACGUGUUGGGCUACACACGUGCUACAAUGGUAUCUACAACAGGAAGCAAGACGGCGACGUUAAGCAAAUCCUUAAAAGAUACCUCAGUUCGGAUUGCACUCUGCAACUCGAGUGCAUGAAGCUGGAAUUACUAGUAAUCGUGGAUCAGCGUGCCACGGUGAAUGCGUUCCCGGGUCUUGUACACACCGCCCGUCACACCAUGGGAGUUGGUUCUACCUUAAGGCAAGGUUUCAAACCCUUGACCACGGUAUAGUCAGCGACUGGGGUGAAGUCGUAACAAGGUAACC
rnacentral:rRNA from 1 species